rnacentral:tRNA from 1 species
GGGCGCCUAGCUCAGUUGGUAGAGCAGCUGACUCUUAAUCAGUAGGUCGUAGGUUCGAUUCCUACGGCGCCCACCA